rnacentral:rRNA from 1 species
CACAUGCAAGUCGAGCGGUAAGGCCCUUCGGGGUACACGAGCGGCGAACGGGUGAGUAACACGUGGGUGAUCUGCCCUGCACUUCGGGAUAAGCCUGGGAAACUGGGUCUAAUACCGGAUAUGACCUUCGGCUGCAUGGCUGAGGGUGGAAAGGUUUACUGGUGCAGGAUGGGCCCGCGGCCUAUCAGCUUGUUGGUGGGGUAAUGGCCUACCAAGGCGACGACGGGUAGCCGACCUGAGAGGGUGACCGGCCACACUGGGACUGAGACACGGCCCAGACUCCUACGGGAGGCAGCAGUGGGGAAUAUUGCACAAUGGGCGAAAGCCUGAUGCAGCGACGCCGCGUGAGGGAUGACGGCCUUCGGUC